UAGGAUUUGAUUUAGGAUUAGAAUUGGGUUAGGAUUUGAUUUCAGAUUAGGAUUUGGUUAGAAUUUGAUUUAAGAUUAGAGUUUGAUUAGGAUUUAAUUUAGGAUUAAGGUUUGGUUAGGAUUUUAUUUAGUGUUAGGAUUUGGUUAAGGUUUGAUUUAGGAUUAGGAUUUGGUUUAGGAUUAGGAUUUGAUUAGGAUUUGAUUUAGGAUUUAGAGUUUGAUUUAGGAUUGAUUAAGAUUUGAUUAAGGAUUUAAUAUUUGAUUAGGAUUUGAUUUAGGGUUUAGGAUUUGGUUUAGGAUUUAAGAUUUGGUUAAGGUUUGGUUAGGAUUUGAUUUAGGAUUUAAGGUUUUAUUUGAACUUGUUUAAGAUUUAAGAUUUAGUUAGUUUUUGGACUAAAGUUUGAAUGAAGUCCAAUAAAAUUUUAACUACAAUAAAUUAA
rnacentral:lncRNA from 1 species